GACGAACGCUUGCGGCGUGCCUGAGAAAUGCAAGUCGAGCGGGGUGUAGGCAAAGUACACCUAAGUACGGGCGAACGGUCGAGUAACACGUAAGCAACCUGCCCUGCAGUGGGGGAUAACAGCGGGAAACUGCUGCUAAUACCGCAUAGGCAUAUUUCUGGGCAUCCAGGGAUGUGUAAAGGCUAGACUGCUGCAGGAGGGGCUUGCGGCCUAUUAGCUAGUCGGUGGGGUAACGGCCUACCGAGGCGACGAUGGGUAGCUGGUCUGAGAGGAUGGUCAGCCGGAUCGGGACUGAGACACGGCCCGGACUCCUACGGGGGGCAGCAAUCAGGAAUAUUGCGCAAUGGGGGAAACCCUGACGCAGCGACGCCCGCGUGCGGGAUGAAGGCCUUCGGGUCGUAAACCGCUGUUGUGGAGCGAAUGACUGUCGAUGAGGCAGGUGGAGACGGGUAUCUCACGAGGGAAGCCCCGGGCUAACGUACGUGCCAGCAGCCGCGGU
rnacentral:rRNA from 1 species